UAGGCUUCUCAGCCUUUUGGCUAAGAUCAAAGUGUAGUAUUUGUUCUUAUUAGCUUAAUAUCUGAUUAUUAGCUUAAUAUCUAUUUGGGGCCAUUGAUAUUAAACUGGUUUUUAGAAUGAGGAGAAGUGUUAGGGGCUUGCUCCGCCUUUGCCACGGGUUGGCCUGGUAUUGCAGUGCUUCCAGGAUUCAGCCCAUCUUUA